GUCGAACGGGUGCGUAACACGUGGAUAACCUUCCUUCAGGUGGGGAAUAACCCAUGUGAAAACUGGUGCUAAUACCGCAUAACAUGACGAUGGCACAUGCUGUUGUCUUCAAAGGCGCAAGUCGUCCAGAAUGAGGGAUCCGCGGCCGAUUAGCUUGUUGGCGAGGUAAUGGCUCACCAAGGCAUUGAUCGGUAGCCGGACUGAGAGGUUGGCCGGCCACACUGGAACUGAGACACGGUCCAGACUCAAUACGGGAGGCAGCAGUGGGGAAUUUUGCACAAUGGACGAAAGUCUGAUGCAGCAACGCCGCGUGGGGGAUGAAGCUUCUCGGAGUGUAAACCCCUUUCGACCCGGAAGAAUGCCCGCAAGGGUUUGACGGUACGGGUAUAAGAAGCCCCGGCUAACUACGUGCCAGCAGCCGCGGUAAUACGUAGGGGGCCAGCGUUGCUCGGAAUUACUGGGCGUAAAGGGUCUGUAGGCGGUGCGGCCAAGUCGAUAGUGAAAUCCCUAGGCUUAACCUAGGGGCUGCUAGCGAAACUGCCGUGCUUAAGAGUUGUGAGAGAGGCGAGUGGGAAUUACGGGGUGUAGCCGGUGAAAUU
rnacentral:rRNA from 1 species